CCAUUAGGGAGAAAUGAAGCAGUGACUGGGGGGGCAACCUGGGGGCAGUUAGGAUUAGCUUUGCACAGAAUGUCUAUUUGUUCUCUUGAUACUCAUGGAAACUAAGUCUGAAGGCCAUUUAAGGCGAGAUUGGGGGGGAAAUACAUUUGCUAUUAUAGAUCUAUAGGGAAUCAUAACAAUGUGUUCAAAUGUCGCUAAGGUGGGCCCUGACCAAUCAUCUUACACAGGCACCUAAAGGGUGUUUCACCAUUAAAUUCCCUGUUUUGCAACUAAGGGCAUUUAGCUCAAGGAAGCCUGCAGGUGAUGUCAUAGUGGGUUCCCAUGGCAACACUGAGGUCUUUAGACCCCCCAUGUGGUCAACUCUUAUUGCAAAACCUUUGCAACUAAGUCAUUGAACUCCAAGGAGGAUGAUGUCACAAUGGGUUUCCAUGGCAACACUGAUGUCACAAUACCAGCCGUGUGUGCGUAACUGUUACAACUUGGGGAAACACUUCAGAUUGCUUUUUAGAGCAGAAGAGGUAAGUUGUCCCUGCUAUGGGCUCCUCCCUGUUACAAUUCUAAUUUGUUUUAAUUAACUAGAAAAGAUACUUUUUACUCUAAAUACUUAGGCCGCUCCUAUGAAUUAGAUUUCAGUAUGAAACGUUGCGCUCUACAUUGCCCCAUAUCUAAGCAUUUAUUUCCAUUAAACAAACAGGGAUAUGUAUAAAUAUAUGGGGAACCUAAUGCCCCACAGACUGACCCCCAAUAAUCACUGCCGGGGUUUUUCUCCCAUUAUUCGCUGUGUUUUUACUUACUAAUUGCUGUGUUUCUGUUUCCUUCCAUAUAACAACAGUUUUGACCGUCUGCAACAAUGGCAUCAAGACUCUGCGACAGUUUCCUUGACUGUGUCCUUGACUGCGUGCGGGGUCUCUGCACGCGUCUCGGCUACAGCAAGAAGACUGAAAAAGAAAAAUAUCCUAAAUGGGAAAAAGUCUACGUAAGUAGGAAACAACAGAUAUAAAUGUUUGUGAGUAAAUGAGCUGCUGGAUCAGGGUGUGUGUGUAGGUUACUGAGCGGUUCCGGGGGGGCUGCAGGCAUUGCAUCAGUAGUUACUGAGGGGCUUAUUAUUAGUUUAUCAUCAGUAAUAGAUGAUAAGGCGCGGCGGGUGAGGGAUCUACGGGCGACUUAGCGAUGCGUAUGCCUUUCCCAGUGUGGGAGUGCGACAGAUAAAAUCAUUUGUAUCAUUGUCCUUUGUGUCAGUCUGUAUGUUAAACGGCCAUUCCAAGGUUUCCAAAACUAAUAAUGUCCUUUUUGUUUGUUUUUUUAGAUCUUUGAGGAUGAAUCAAGUGUUUUUAUCCCUACUUAUUGCGUUGAGCUUUAAUAGGUUAGGUUAGGAAAUUACAAAAAAAAAAAAAAAUA